AUUGAACGCUGGCGGCAGGCCUAACACAUGCAAGUCGAGCGAGAGGCGGACGGGUGGGUAAUUUAUGGGCAUCUGCCUGAUGGAGGGGGCUAACUACUGGAAACGUUAGCUAAAACCGCUUACCAUCAGUUGAAGCCAGAUGGGAUUAGCUUGUAGGUAAGGUAACGGCUUACCUAGGCGACGAUACCUAGCUGGUCUGAGAGGAUGAUCGGCCACCCGGGGACUGAGACACGGCCCAGACUCCUACGGGAGGCAGCAGUGGGGAAUAUUGCGCAAUGGGCGCAAGCCUGAUGCAGCAAUGCCGCGUGUAUGAAGAAGGCCUUCGGAUUGUAAAGUACUUUCAGUCGAGAAGCGUUACCGAACGAAGAAGCCCCGGCUAACUCCGUGCCAGCAGCCGCGGUAAUAC
rnacentral:rRNA from 1 species